rnacentral:rRNA from 1 species
GAUGAACGCUAGCGGCAGGCUUAACACAUGCAAGUCGAGGGGCAUCGAGAGUAGCAAUACUUGUCGGCGACCGGCGCAAGGGUGCGUAACACGUGAGCAACAUACCCGUUUCAGGAGGAUAACCGGAGGAAACUCUGCCUAAUACUCCAUGACAUCAUCAAACGGCAUCGUUUGAUGAUUAAAGAUUUAUCGGAAACGGCUUGGCUCGCGGGACAUUAGCUCGUUGGUGAGGUAACGGCUCACCAAGGCGACGAUGUCUAGGGGUUCUGAGAGGAAGGUCCCCCACACUGGAACUGAGACACGGUCCAGACUCCUACGGGAGGCAGCAGUGAGGAAUAUUGGACAAUGGUCGGAAGACUGAUCCAGCCAUGCCGCGUGAAGGUUACUGUCCUAUGGAUAUUAAACUUCUUUUGAUGAGAGCAAAUAAGGUGACUACGGUUGCACCGAUGAGAGUAUCAUACGAAUAAGCAUCGGCUAACCG